rnacentral:rRNA from 1 species
UCCAAAUGGAUGUGAACUAGGAUUCUAGACUAAAUAUUACAAGUUUUCUAUAUGUUACCUUAAUUGGUUGCAUAUAGUAGCUAGUAAGUUUACCUUGAAAAAAUUAGAGUGCUCAAUGCGGGCUUAAUGCCUGAAUACUCGUGCAUGGAAUAAUAAAAUAGGAUCUUGGUUCUAUUUUGUUGGUUUUCUGAUCUAAGAUAAUGGUUAAGAGGGACGGACGGGGGCAUUCGUAUCGCUACGUGAGAGGUGAAAUUCUUGGACCGUAGCGAGACGUACAACUGCGAAAGCAUUUGCCAAGAAUGUCUUCAUUAAUCAAGAACGAAAGUCAGAGGUUCGAAGGCGAUCAGAUACCGCCCUAGUUCUGACCGUAAACGAUACCAACUAGCGUUCCGUCGGCGGUAAAUACGCCUUG